rnacentral:rRNA from 1 species
GACGUAGGGCGCGAGCGUUUGUCCGGAUUUAUUGGGCGUAAAGAGCUCGUAGGCGGCUUGUUGCGUCGACUGUGAAAACCCGCGGCUUAACUGCGGGCUUGCAGUUGAUACGGGCAGGCUAGAGUUCGGUAGGGGAGACUGGAAUUCCUGGUGUAGCGGUGAAAUGCGUAGAUAUCGGGAGGAAUACCGAUGGCGAAGGCAGGUCUCUGGGCUGACACUGACGCUCAUGCACGAAAGCGUGGGGAGCAAACAGG